GACGAACGCUGGCGGCGUGCUUAACACAUGCAAGUCGAACGAAGAGCGAUGGAAGCUUGCUUCUAUCAAUCUUAGUGCCGAACGGUUGAGUAACGCGUAAUCACCCUGCCCUUCAGAGGAGGCCAACAGUUGGAAACGUCUUCUACUACCGCAUACGUUCCAAUCUCCGCUUCGGGACUAGAUGCACGGUGGCCUCUAUUUUUAGCCUAUCACUGAUGGGGGGGAUUGUGUCGGAUUAGCUCGUUGGAGGGGUAACGGCCCACGCAGGCGAUGGUCAGUAGCCGGUCUGAGUGGAUGAACGGCCACACUGGGACUGGGACACGGCCCAGAGUCCUACGGGAGGCAGCAGUAGGGAAUAGUCCGCAAUGGACGAGAGUCUGACGGAGCAACGCCGCGUGAGUGAUGACGGACUUCGGGUUGUAAAGCUCUGUUAAUCGGGACGAAGGGUUAUUGUGCGAAUAGUGCGAGGAUUUGACGGUACCGGAAUAGAAAGCCACGGCUAACUACGUG
rnacentral:rRNA from 1 species